rnacentral:rRNA from 1 species
CUAAAGAGCCGUUCGAGACUAGGACGUUGAUAGGUUGGAUGUGGAAGCAUAGUGAUAUGUGAAGCUGACCAAUACUAAUUGCUCGUGAGGCUUGACUAUACAACACCCAAGCAGUUG